CCUUUUCGGGUCCUGAAAAUAAGUAAGGAUUCCUCACCCUAUUUUCUAUCACGGUAUUAAAGUGCAAUAAAUGAUAAAAUGGUAUUUCAUGAAUCAAUAACUAUGUGAAAUUAUUUAAGGUUGCUAAUGGAGCCCGAGUCUAGUGUAUUUGUCGGUUAGUUGUUAUUUGUUCUAUUUUACAGUUUUAAAUGGAAUAUGAUGUCUGAUGUUUUUAUUUCAUAGUUUCGUGUGCAUGUAUCACUGUUUCAUUGAUUAUGGACUGAAUGACUGCGAACCCGAUGUUGUGUGUUGUCUUGUUGGCAUGAACUACUGGUUUGCAUAUUUGUGUGUUACUUGAUGAUGGUGACUAAAGAAAAAGGGAUAAAAGGUUAUGUGAAUUGGCAAACGGAUAAUGUGGACAGUCUGACUAGGUAUCCUGGUUGAUGGUGGACGGACCGAGUCUCCGUAGAAAAUCCUACCGGAAACGUGGUCUCUUAUACCAGACGGGGUAUGGAGACCUUACGUGUUUUGGCGCUCAUACCGGACGGGGUAUGGGGACGGCCCGUUUCACCCUCAUACCGGACGAGGUAUUGAGGUUCAUGGUUUUGGCGCCCAUACCGAACGGGGUAUGGGGUAAGCCCCAGAAUCAGGUUAUAAAUGUUAAGGGUUCACGGGUAGCGGGACCCCUAUGGAUCCCUAUGGAUACUAGUAGGCUGGUAAAGAGGAAUUAUGCUGUUUAAAGAUUAAAAUGCAAACGCGUGAUAAAUGUUGUAUUAUAAAGUCUAUGUGAUAACGUGAUGAUGAUAAUGUGUUUCUUGUGUAUUGUUUUAUGGAUCUCACCCAGGUAAAUGGAAAGUAAACGUUUUUAUGAACAAAUGGGUUUAUUACAAAUUAUGCUCAAUUGGUCGUUUUUGUUUUCUACCCACCCUUACUCCUGUGGCAGUGAGGUAGAGCGAUGUCUUUACAGGGCU
rnacentral:lncRNA from 1 species